UAAGGUUAAGUUAAUAAGGGCGCACGGUGGAUGCCUUGGCACUAGGAGCCGAAGAAGGACGUGACAAACGACGAUAUGCCUUGGGUAGCUGUAAGUAAGCGAUGAUCCAGGGAUUUCCGAAUGGGGGAACCCAACAGGUACUACCUGUUACCCACAUCUGUUAAGGAUGUGAGGAGGAAGACGCAGUGAACUGAAACAUCUAAGUAGCUGCAGGAAGAGAAAGCAAAAGCGAUUGCCUUAGUAGCGGCGAGCGAAACGGCAGAAGGGCAAACCGAAGAGUUUACUCUUCGGGGUUGUAGGACUGCAAUGUGGACUCAAAGAUUAUAGAAGAAUGAUUUGGGAAGAUCAGCCAAAGAGAGUAAUAGCCUCGUAUUUAAAAUAGUCUUUGUACCUAGCAGUAUCCUGAGUACGGCGGGACACGUGAAAUCCCGUCGGAAUCUGGGAGGACCAUCUCCCAACCCUAAAUACUCCCUAGUGACCGAUAGUGAACCAGUACCGUGAGGGAAAGGUGAAAAGCACCCCGGGAGGGGAGUGAAAUAGAACCUGAAACCGUGUGCCUACAACAAGUUCGAGCCCGUUAAUGGGUGAGAGCGUGCCUUUUGUAGAAUGAACCGGCGAGUUACGUUAUGAUGCGAGGUUAAGUUGAAGAGACGGAGCCGUAGGGAAACCGAGUCUGAAUAGGGCGCCUUAGUAUCAUGACGUAGACCCGAAACCAUGUGACCUACCCAUGAGCAGGUUGAAGGUGCGGUAAGACGCACUGGAGGACCGAACCAGGGCACGUUGAAAAGUGCUUGGAUGACUUGUGGGUAGCGGAGAAAUUCCAAACGAACUUGGAGAUAGCUGGUUCUCUCCGAAAUAGCUUUAGGGCUAGCGUCGACAUUAGAGAUUCUUGGAGGUAGAGCACUGUUUGGGUGAGGGGUCCAUCCCGGAUUACCAAUCUCAGAUAAACUCCGAAUGCCAAUGAAUUAUGGUCGGCAGUCAGACUGCGAGUGCUAAGAUCCGUAGUCGAAAGGGAAACAGCCCAGACCACCAGCUAAGGUCCCAAAAUAAUUGUUAAGUGGAAAAGGAUGUGGGGUUGCACAGACAACUAGGAUGUUAGCUUAGAAGCAGCUAUUCAUUCAAAGAGUGCGUAAUAGCUCACUAGUCGAGUGACCCUGCGCCGAAAAUGUACCGGGGCUAAAACAAUUUACCGAAGCUGUGGAUACCUUU
rnacentral:rRNA from 1 species